AAAGUACUCCCUCCGUCCCAAAAUUCUUGUCUUAGAUUUGUCUAGAUACGGAUGUAUCAAGUCACAUUUUAGUAUUAGAUACAUCCGUAUCUAGACAAAUCUAAGACAAGAAAUUUGGGACAGAGGGACUAGUUG
rnacentral:pre_miRNA from 1 species